rnacentral:rRNA from 1 species
GAUGAACGCUAGCGGGAGGCUUAACACAUGCAAGUCGAGGGGCAGCAUAGGGUAGCAAUACUCUGAUGGCGACCGGCAAACGGGUGAGUAACGCGUAUGCAACCUACCCUGUACAGGGGGAUAACCCGGAGAAAUUCGGACUAAUAUCCCGUAAUAAUAUCCGGAGGCAUCUUUGGAUAUUUAAAGUUCCGACGGUACGGGAUGGGCAUGCGUAACAUUAACUGGUUGGUAAGGUAACGGCUUACCAAGGCUAUGAUGUUUAGGGGUCCUGAGAGGGUGGUCCCCACACUGGUACUGAGACACGGACCAGACUCCUACGGGAGGCAGCAGUGAGGAAUAUUGGUCAAUGGGCGCAAGCCUGAACCAGCCAUCCCGCGUGCAGGAAGACGGCCCUAUGGGUUGUAAACUGCUUUUCCAGGGAGAGAAACUUACGCACGUGUUGCGUGACUGACGGUACCCUGGGAAUAAGCAUCGGCUAACUCCGUGCCAGCAGCCGCGGUAAACGUAGCGUG